GAUCCGAUGGGUGAUUCCGAGUGCAAGACGUCCCUGGAAAGCACACGGCAUGCGCCAUCGAGUGUACGCUUAUUUUAACAAACCUAUUUCUGAUAUUGUGCCACCGCGACGGGACCUGUAUCGAGAUUAGAAGGCUUUCAACGAAACCGAUUUACUCGCGGUGCUAAGAGACGCAAUAAACGUGGACCGCGCCUGCAUACGGCCAGCGAUCGCGUGUGCUCGGUGCACAUUCGACAAGUACCCCUUCCUUUCGAUGCACGACUCCCCCACACCUCCAACGUGCGCGAGGUACGAAACAGUGGGUACUAUCUCUAUGGCGUUAGGUGAAAGCUCGACGGCUCGCAGAAGUAGCGCUGGACGCCGAAGCAAAUGGGAGCUAUCGAUGCAACGCGUUCGAUUAUGCGCGAGUUGACGAUUUUUAACACUUUAGCCUAUUAAGAAAUAUCGUCGAUUCGUAGUUAAUGUGGGUCAUUGAGAAAGAAAGUGAUAUUUAAAUCGAAGUAAAGUCAACGAUGUCACGAAAUGUGUAAACACGAAGCGCGGCUAAUGUGCGUGUUUAUAUGAAAGAUAAAUAUUUAUAUGGGGUUGGCUCAUUCAAAUCGAAGUAUGUUCGUUAUUGAACUGCUAUAGAUACGUAUUAAUUGUUAUAGUACUGUGUACAGCUGAUCGCUAAAAUGGGGAUGUUUAUACAUUUAUGGCAAAUGAAAAUAUGGUUAAAUGUAUGAAUAUUUGCAGAACUCCAAAAAUAUAUAAAAUAUCGACAAUAACAUAGACCUAAACCAUAACCCGUUAUACCCUUUACAAGAUAAGACAUACUUCCGUUUAAAUUUCAAUUCUUUUCAUACAUGAAUCUGUAUAAACAUCCGCACUCUAUCGAUCACUUAUACGUUACUACCAGAACGUAUAACUGAGGGAAGAUUAACACGCUUCUUCUUUAUAAAUAAACGAGAACUUUAUCUGUGAAAUGCACAGAAUUAAUUCCUACGCUUAAUAGAAUCCCACGAAGCCAAAAUUUCUAUUUUUUUUUAUAUAAAAAGACGUGUUUUCGAGUAACAGGGAAUUUACACAGCACCGUUAAUACAGCGUCGAUGGAGGGGCGCCUGCAGUUUCGAACCAACGGCGCAUAAAUGUCAAGGGAUCCUGACAUAGUUUUUAGGUUCUCCGAAGUGAGCGGUUAUCGGAUUGGAGAAACGCCUUUGUCGAUUACAUUGUCGGCGAGCAAAGCGAUAUACGCGACCUGUUUCGGCAAACUAUCGUUGAUAGUAGCGAGCAACUUGGCGUAUGACUGUUAGCGAUAAACGAUUAGAUACCCCGGGCAUAGCCGUAGCCUAUUGCGCGUUUAAUAUUGUCAAGACUAUCGAAGCGUACGGCAAAGAUCGCGAGCACGCGGUCGGUGGCGCACCCAGAAAUUUAACAGGAGAUGCGGGGGAGAGGGGUGCUACUAAAAAUUAACGCUAGGCUCACAGAACCUAGAAGUUUAUUUUGACCCAUUCCGAAUUUCGCAAUGAGAGUUACAGAAACCAUUUAUGCUGACGUUUAUCCACGUAAAAAAACAGCAAGGGUACUUUGAACUUUCGUAAAGCUAAUGUUAACAGAGGCGAGACAUAGUCGAAAUUCUUAGGUAGAUAAGAAUUUUGAAUAACGAGAGAAUGAUAACCAAAUUUUCGUUCGAUGUUUGUAAAAUAAAGAUUGGAGAAUCGUAGAAUGGAACAUUUUACAACGAAGAAGUAAAGGUUCAAUUAUUCGAUCGAAUGAACGUCAAUCGAACUAUUUAAACGCAAUUGGUUUUAAGAGAUGUACACUUCUUCCUGGUUGAGGUAUUAUUUUGUGACAUUGAAUUAAAUUCUCUUUUGAAUUUAUACUAUUUUUAUCUAACUUCGGGGAGUAUACUGUAGAGUGAUAUUAGUAAAAGAAAAUAUAUAAGCUAAAUUAAAAUUAAGUGGCCCAAGACGUUCGCACAGCACAAUAUAAAAAAUAAUGUUAAUCGUUAGAAUUUGGGUAGUUGCACGACUGCUUCUCUGCUCCUGGGUGCGCCAUUGCAUACGGUGCGUGACGAUUGGCGCGACUGGUUCGAUUCAAAUUCGCGUCGCCUCUGGUCUUUAUUUUUAUUUUUUUUUUUUUUUGCGCCGUCAGAUAGCAACGUCAGCGACAAUGUCAUACUGAUUAUCGUCACGCCAAGCGAGAUACCGCGCGAGAACUGCCCGUUUACCCGACUUCGAAUCGUUUCCUUACGAGUCACGCGAUCAACCGAUAAAAAUUUCUUUUCGACCCAAAGCAUAAUAAAUGAUCACAACGAACCUAUAGCAAUUUAAUCGUGAUAUGUUUUCUCUGAAUCGAACAGUUACGAUUUUACGAAAGCUCAUUUUCUAAGUAAUUCAAAUUCAAAUUUUUAUGUAACGAGUAACAGAUAAAUGUUUACUUAUCUUUUACUCGUUGUUAGCUAUUUUAUUCGAGAUAAGAAUUCUGCCCGUGUCUGGCCUCGACGUACAGAGUUGCAUUAUAAGAAUUUCGUUUUACUCCGAAAAAUAAAGGUUUUUGUUCCUAUAAUCGAUUAAUAAUUUGGUGGAUAUUACAUUUACUGUACCGCGUUAUUUAAAAAUCUAUCAAUUAAAAAAAUGUAGCUUUUACUAGUUAUUUUUUGUUAGGCUUGCGAUUAAAGUAAAGUCGUUUAAAAAUUCUUUUCCUAACGCAUUACUUCGACGCGAUAAAAUGAUUCGGUAUGAUUCUGAAUUUUUAGAAAUUUCGUCGAUUUAGCGAAGAUGCUAACAUAACGUAUGUGCGACCCUGCUGCGCGUAUUUUACCAUCGAACACGUUCAACGAGUCGAUAUUCAACCUGACGGAGGAACAUUCUCGAGCUUUUCUCAGGAAUGAAUUAUUAAGGUCGUACGACGGAUUACGAGGCGGCGUGGUUUCCAAUAACUCGCUGCUUAUCGAUAAAAAUGUACGAGUCGUUCGAGAAAGCACGGGCUCGAUAAUAAGUCUCGCGUAGGCUAACCAACGCGUCUCUCGUGCAUCUUCUAUUUCCUGUCGGAGUUGUAUGCAUAACGGACUGAACUCGUGCGUGAUACAUACAGUGACUAACAAAAGUAUUAGAACAGCGAAGAGUUCACCGUAAUGUUGCAUAUAGAUCGAGGAACAAAAAAUGAAUCUCUUGAGGAACAAAUUUUAAAUGGAUUUUAUUAUGCUUUAAUAAAAUUAGAAUAACAAACAAUUCUAAUUUCGUUAAUACUGUUCAGGGUCUAUAGAUUGAAUAUAAGCAACAAAUGUUAAACGACUAUACGUAUGUUGCGUGUCUAAAUAAUAGUACCGGCACAGAUAAACGAUAUAUUUCUAUUUUAGAGAAUUGUCUGACGGCAUACCAUAGGUAGUUGAUAGAAGUCGAUCUACGGAGGUCGACCACAAAAGUUGUACAAAAAAAAAAAACAAGACAAAA